rnacentral:lncRNA from 13 species
CAUGAGCUCAGGGUCCUCAUGAUGGGAGAAGAAUUGCAAAGAAAUGCUCUCUGUGUGUGCCUCUGUGUGUCUCUGUGUGUGUCUCUGUGUGUCUCUGCAUGUCUCUGUGUGUCUCUAUGUGUCUCUGUGUGUCUCUGUGUGUCUCUGUGUGUGUCUCUGUGUGUCCAUGUGUCUCUCUGUGUGUGUCUCUGUGUGUCUCUGUCUCUGGUCUCCGUCUUCCUCCCCACCGUGUGGGGAUGGAGUGAGGAAACAGCUGUAUUCCUCUGUUUUCACACGGCUGAUGAAGAUUUACCUAAGACUGGGCAAUUAACAGAAGGAGGUUUAAUUGGACUUAAGUUCCAGACGGCCGGGGAAGCCUCACAAUCAUCGCUGAAGGCAAGGAGGAGCGAGUCCCGUCUUAUGUGGACGGCAGCAGGCAAAGAGAGAAUGAGAAAGACGCCAAAGCAGAAACCCCUGAGGAAGCCACCAGCGCUCGUGAGACUUACGUUCACUACCAAGAGCACAGCGUGGGGGAAACCAGCCGGGGAUUCAGGUGUCUCCCACCGAGUCCCGCCCACGACACCUGGGGGUUAUGGGAGUCCAAUUCAAGAUGAGAUUCGAUGGGGACACGGCCAAACCUUAUCAACGGCCCUCCGAAAGCCAGGAGUGGAGGAAGCAAGCCCUUGCCAGGCACUGUGCCUGCUGGAACCGGGGCCCUGGACUUCCAGCUUCCAGAGACGUGAGGAAUAAAUGUCUGCUGUUGCUACGUCCCUCGGCAGCCAGCCGUCGUGCCGAAAAGACAGACGAGCACGUGGCAGUCUGUGGCAGGUGGCCUCGAACAUCCCCACAGACACAUCUUUUCUCUACCACAGGUGUCUGUUUUUGUUUCUUUGUUUCCCUCCUGUGGCACCAGAGCUCCGCCUUCUCUGCCCAGCUCCUGCCAAGUGCCUCUUCUCUAAGUCCUCAGCUUCCCCACAAGAUGUCGAAUCCCCUUCAGCACAGCUAAACCUGCUACCGUGAGACGCCUCUCUAGACAGGGCAGUGAUGCCACCGUGUUAAGCCACAGCUUGGAGAGGUCUUGUCCCUCCCACCUGUACCCCAGCGGCUUAUCCCUUCUAACUACCUCUGCGCUCCCCAGCAGGCGAUCUGGUGAAUAGAGUGUCCGCAUUUUGUUUCAUACAGAAGAGCACGAAGAAGAAAGUUAAAACCGUAAGCAAUCUUGCUGCCCGAAGGCUUCUUCUGUUAGCCUGUCCAC